GCCCGCUGGGUAAUCACUUGCCAUCACUUCCCCUCGGCAUUUUUUGUGAAUGGAGCUCAUUAUGCAUGCAGCCUCCACGCAGCUCCAUUCACAAGCAGCGCUCCCUCCUCUCCCUGCAGGCUGCGUGGAUCUCACUCAACUCAGCCUAAAUGACCACAAACGGUUAACGGAUGGAUUAUAAGAUGGAUGGAUAUUUGGACCAGCAAGUGCCUUACACUUUAGCAAAUAAGUCGCAAGGAAAUGGGCCCCUAAAUAGACUGUUGAUGGCAGCGAAAAGGAAAUACAUGGACACAGAAUUACCCCCUCAGGAAUCUGAAGACCUCUUCCAGGAUUUAAGCCAACUCCAAGAGACAUGGCUCACAGAAGGUGAG